rnacentral:lncRNA from 1 species
UUUUUGUUAGAUAACUAGGUAUUUUUAAUGAAUUACUCCAUUUUUUUCCCAUUAUUCAUUGGAAGAUAAACUCUGGUCUUGUUCUUUUAGUACAAGGAUUGACAAAUUAUGGCCUGUCGGUCAAACCUAACCUGAUGCCUGUUUUUUGGUAAAUAACAAUGUAUUCCAGCACAGCCACACUCAUUUUGCACAUUGUCUAUGUCUACUUUGAUGCUAUGACAGUAUGUAGGUAGAGCAAACACCAAAGGGGGUCUACAAUGACUAAAAUAUUUACUAUCUAGCCCUUUACAGAUAAUUUGCAACCCCAUUUUUAGUGGAUAUCCUUUAAAAUGCAAUGUAUAUAUAUAUAUUUUUUUAACAUACCAAAUUCUUAAAACCUCCUCUUUAUGGAUGAUAAAUCAAGUCCCUCAAAAUCUUUUUUUUUUUUUAAGAUUUAUUUAUAAUUCAUGAGAGACCCAGAGAGAGAGGCAGAGACACAGAGGGAGAAGCAGGCUCCCAACAGGGAGCCUGAUGCAGGACUCGAUCCCAGAACCCAAGGAUCAUGACCUAGCCCAAGGCAGAUGCUCAACCACUGAGUCACCCAGGUGUCCCCCUCGGAAUAUUUUAAUUAUAUUUUCCCCUUCCCGCAUAGACAUUAUUGUACUCAGGAAUUUUAUUUUCUUAAUAAACUCUGUUUUGGAAUCAUUUUAGAUUCACAGAAAAGUUGCAAAGAUAGCGGUUAGUCCAUGUAUGCCCUUCACUCAGCUUCACCUAACGUUACUGUAGAACGUUGGUACAUUUGUUAAAUCUAUGUGAUAACAUUGGUACAUUUACUUUUAACUAAAUGCCAAACUUCAUUCAAAUUUCACCAAUUUUCCCACUUACAUCCUUUUUUUUGUCUAGGAUCCAAUCGAGGGUCCAUGUUGGAUUUAGUUGUCAUGCCUCCUUAAUCUCCUCCGGUCUAUGACAGUUUCUCAGUCCUUCCUUGUUUUCUCUGACCGUGACAGUUUUGAGGAGUACUGGCAGGUUCUUAAAUUUAGGUUUUCUGUUUUCUGUAUGCUUAGACUGAGGUUCUGUGUUUUGGGGGAAAAAAACCACAGAGGCGACAUGCCCCUCUCAUUACAUCACAUCAGGCAGUACAUGAGAUCAGCUGGGUGUUGCUAAUCUUCAUGACCUGGCUAAGGUUGUGCUGGCCAAGUUUCUCCUGCGUGGAGCUCUCUUUUUUCUCUUUCUAUUCUCAGUGCUUUGGCAGCAAGCCCCUAAGUGGAGCCUACAUUGUGGCUGGAAGGAGUGAGAGGUGGAGUGGGGUAUAUCUACACAAUGUUGUUGUUUUUUUCGAAGAUUUUCUUUAUUUAUUCAUGAGAGACAGAGAGAGAGAGGUGCAGAGAGAGAGGUGCAGAGAGAGAGGGGCAGAGAGAGAGGGGCAGAGGGAGAAGCAGGCUCCAUGCAAGAAGCCCUAUGUGGGACUCGAUCCUGGGUCUCUAGGACCACCCCCGGAGCUGAAGGCGGUGCUAAACCGCUGAGCCACCUGGGCUGCCCUAUCUACACAAUGUUAUUUGGAAUUCUUGUAUAGAGAAAAUUUGUCUCCUCUUAUUUGUUCAAUUCUUUUUUAUAGCAGUACAAACUCAUGCAUACUUAUUUCGUACUUUGUGUUUUAGUCCAAUACAACAUUAUUUCUUUUGCUCAAAUUGUUCCAACUUUGGCCAUUGGGAGCUAUCUCGGGUUGGCUCAUUUUUCCUUUCAAUAUGACCCAAUCCUUUUGUUUUUAUGGAUGCUUCUUUACUUUCUGGCCCUACAAGAUGCUCCUGGCUCCCCCCUGCCUGUCUCUUUCUCCCAUGACAGAGCAAUGUAGUCACUAGUUUACAGGUAAGCGCCAAUCUUCUCUCUUCCAAGAAAGAAAUAUUUUACACUGCCUAGAUUCAGUGCCUGAGAUUGACCCACCUGUCCAAAUUAUAGCUGAAUUGGGAUCAGAUAUUAGACAUUUGCUGUGUUCCAUCCCUGGAGCCACAUUGGGGCCCCUUGAUCACUGGCCUUACUGUCCCACGUGCCUGGCCCCAGCCUAUCUACUAUUCAAGACCAACUACGUUAUGAAAAGAACAGUUGAUUUGGAGGAGAGAUCCUGGGCUCCAUUUUUAAUAUAGUAAGUUUGAAGUAUAUGCAAUAUCCAAAUAUCUUCCACCCUUACCUCUUACUUGUCUUCAAGCAAAUGAGUAUAGCAGGAAAUUGUUGACUUCGUCUUCCACAAUCCAAUCUUCUGGGACAAUCCCAGUCCUCUAGGACAAAUCCUUCCAUCAUUUCAGCAGAAUUACUGCCUUGUGUUGAUAACAGAUUACACCUUUCUUAUCUCAGAAGUUUACUUUCUCCAAAAUAAUGGUAAACGUUGUUAUCCUACCAUUUGUCUCUGCAUAAUUCUAAAAAAUCUUUGAAUCUCUUUAGCUCUCCCUAGAGGUUAGAUUCUAUUGACAAUGACCUGACUCUCUGAUAUUGUAACCACAACAGUGUCCGAACAUUUCCAAGUUUUCUUUGGAUGUUCCCUCACCCUA